GAACUGAAGAGUUUGAUCAUGGCUCAGAUUGGACGCUGGCAGCAGGGGCCUUCAACACAUGCAAGUCGAGCUUAUGAAGGGAGCUUGCCUUGGAUUCAGCGGCGGACGGGUGAGUAAUGCCUAGGAAUCUGCCUGGUAGUGGGGGAUAACGUCCGGAAACGGCCGCUAAUACCGCAUACGUCCUGAGGGAGAAAGUCGGGGAUCUUCGGACCUCACGCUAUCAGAUGAGCCUAGGUCGGAUUAGCUAGUUGGUGGGGUAAAGGCCUACCAAGGCGACGAUCCGUAACUGGUCUGAGAGGAUGAUCAGUCACACUGGAACUGAGACACGGUCCAGACUCCUACGGGAGGCAGCAGUGGGGAAUAUUGGACAAUGGGCGCAAGCCUGAUCCAGCCAUGCCGCGUGUGUGAAGAAGGUCUUCGGAUUGUAAAGCACUUUAAGUUGGGAGGAAGGGCAGUAAGUUAAUACCUUGCUGUUUGACGUUACCAACAGAAUAAGCACC
rnacentral:rRNA from 1 species